ensembl:lncRNA
CAGCACCAUUCACCAUGUAGCAGUGCAUUACUAUAUGUGGAUUCUUUGCUCGAAGCCUUUCUGAGAAGAAUGUAAAGGACAUAAAGGGCAGUGUUGGAAAAGAGAACUUGCCUUGGAAAUCCCAGCUGAGUCUCAGUUCUACAAUUUAUUAGCUGUAUGACCUUAGAUGACCCUGACUAACCCUCCCCAUCGGCAAGGGUCUCCUCGGCUGACAGUGAGGUCAGAAGACCUGGACGUUGAGUGACAGCAGUGGAAAAGGUUUGGAAGUGACUCCUCUGAUCGAGGCCUCUAACCCUAAGAAAUGCCGUUUUCCUCUUGGAAUGUGCUUUCUGUGGCACUGUCGGCAUCCGUUCCAGCUGAUGAAACCCUUUAAAGAAGCUCAGAUGCUUUUGCGCACGAAGCGUCCCUGACAAUUAGAGACGCACGCUCUGCCAUCUUGGCUUGUCCUCCGGCAGCUGCGCCCCGAUCUGUUCAGAUUGGGGAGACCUUUCCUGGCCUUCCUCAAAACCAUCAUUUGUGCAGCGUCCCCGGGGCUACGAACAGCAAGGAAAUGAAGGAAAGCAAGCAACAUCUGGCGUUAAACAAAUACCA